AGCUAUCGGUAUCUUCCAUGCGAAAGACAUUCGCCAGUAAAAUCCUAGAAUUAAAAUAAAACAUACCACAAAGUAUCUUGUCGUGUCAUAUAUUGUUUAAAAAGUACUUAUCUGACUAAUUCGCAUGUUUUUGGGCCCGGCUAGAUGAUCCUUAAGUGGGUUCGCGUCCCACGUUGGUUUAAGGUUGACGAAGACAAAGAUCAAUUUUUUAACUAUGUUUACAUUCUUAGAAUAUACAUUUUUCACUAAACGCAUAUCAUAUUCACAAACACAUAAUUUGACUUAUUUGCUAUUUAUUUAUUUCAACACUUAACGAUUCUAUACUGACACAACACCAUUAUGCAAACAAAUGACUACAUAUUUAAUUAUUUAUUUAUUUAUUAUAAUUGACGAUAGACUCAAUUGAAUCAGUUUUUUUUAUUUUAAUGACUAAUUCAUCGGAAAAUGUGUCUUCUUAAUGCUUGCAAUAACUUUAUUUGACCGUUUUGAAUUUUAACAUUUUUUUAUUUAAUAUCCCGUGUAAUACAUUAAUGACUUUAAUUUAUUUAUUUAAUUUAUCUUGCCCUUUCCAUUCUUAUUCGUGCAAUAAUAAACCGAGAAGUAAGCAAUAUUACACAAAACGAUUUUUUUAUAACACUCGACUUGCAAUGACAAUAUCCCGACGGCAAAACGCAUUUUUUUUAUUUUUUUGAUUUUAAGGUUAUUGAACUCUGUAAAUUUCACGAUUUGUAAACAGAAGAUCGAACGGAUUUUUUAUUAUUAUAUUCCUGUUGUAUUGCUAUUAUGUAGGUCAAAUUAACGGAGCAACCAUAUGAUUGUCUCCCUCACACUUCCGUUAUCCCGUUUUGAUGUACUAUAAUUGCUUUGUUUACAUUUGGAAUUGAAUUUUUUUUGUCACAUUUUGUUGCAAUUAAUUGCAAAAUAAUUAAAUAAUUUCGAAGAUAGUUUCACACAUAUCAAACUUUAACUCGUAUAAAAUGAUGAACGACACACAAUCCGAUUUAAUAUAGACAAUCUACUCGGUAAUUCGCAUCUAUAUAGCACAACGACGCGCCGCGCAGCUCCGCCGCCGCCGGAAAGACUUAGCCAAAUCACGACUGUAGGUACGUACGUGGGUUCGUUUGCAUAUUUCUGGCAAUAUCCUCGCCAGAAAAAAGCAAAGCCCUGUUACAUAUUGACCAUUUAUUUACCUUCUUUAUUUAUUAAAUUAUUAAAUUCUCAAAAGACUACGACAACGACGACAACGACGAUGACGACCGACGAUAUAAACAAAAAAAAAAUGAUCGUAAUUCUUGACUUGUCAAACUGACAUAAAUGACAUCAAGGGUUACGAUAUUAGGAGUCGGUAAUGCAGGUCAGAAUUAGAGCUAAGGAUAGGUUCAGAGAGUGAGAACGGGGACAAUGAAAUCAAUGAGAAAUCUCAGUGAGAUAUCUGAGUGAUAAAUAUUCUUUUGGGAGAAUGGGGGAUGAUAGGGCAUCAAAUGUAUCCAGAGAACUGGUUGGCUGAAUGGUAUUUGCCAAUUUAGCACAAAAUGUUGACGGUUAAAGUGUCGGCCGAAAGAAAAAGAAAAUUUCAAAUCUCUUUCUUUUGAAAUCGACCAGCCACAAAACAAGGCCUUUUGCUUUGAAAUAAGCUGUUGAUACGGGUGUCUAUCGACCAAUUUUAAAUUUUUUUACCACACAAAAAAAAAAUAUAAAAAAAAAAGAAGGAAACUACAUAACUUGGAAAAGCAGUGGAAUUCAGAGACAAAGGAGGAGCUUGAGUUUGAGGAGUUCAUAGACAGGAAGAUUGAUUUAAGUUCCCUGUCUGGACAAAAAAAUCCAGUUAAGAUAAAAACCAAAAAAAAAACUAGCCGCAUAUCCAAGAGUGUUGCAGAAAGCGGGAUUGGAGCGAACCGGUAGCCGCGAGUGAUAAGGCUCCGGUAAACUUAACAGUUUGAAAAAUCGAGUUCGGUUCAAAUCGAGUUAGAUAUGCAAAAAUUUUUUUUUUAUUUCAUUUUUCGUUUUUUUUUUGUUUUUACAAUCUAUAAUUAAUUAAUUCAAUAAUUCAAAUUUUUUCUCGAAGUGGUCAUAGUAAAAAUUCAAAUUCAAAAAUCUAAUCAAAAAUUUUAAUUGCGCGAACCGUGUGUUAGUUUUCAAUUCGCGAUUAAGUUAUUUGUACUUAUAUAUAUAUAUAUCGUGUGUAUAACAAAGGCACAGAAAAACGGCACUAAAAAAAAGAAGAAAAAAGUGAUACCUCCUUAUUCUCCUGCAGCAGUGGCCACUACGAACAGAAGGACAAGGGUGAGUUUAUUUUUAAUUUUUAUAUAUGUAUGCACAAAUAUACCUACAGAUAUAUAUACGCACAAAAUUUCUUUCGCGAGGGCGGUACAAGUGGGGAUUAAAGUUUUAUUCUUGAUUGUGACAAAAGAGGAUUGUAUAUCCCAAAUUUGCGAAUAAAUCGAAGACGGGUUAAGAUUUUUUUUGAUUAAACUUCGAAUUGAAAACCGGCCAUUAGAGAUUUCAAAUUUUUUUAUUAUUGUACUUCUAAAUGUAAAUUCAAUUAUAAUAAAUCUGAGAUUUUAAUAACCUGAGUAAAUGAAGAAAUACAACUUAAAUGUAUAUUUAAUUCAUGUUUGAAAUAAAGUUGAAAUGAUAAUGGUGAA